rnacentral:tRNA from 1 species
GACAGUGUAGCUUAGCGGUAGAGUGCAUGCCUCGCAUGCAGGAGGUCCUGGGUUCAGUCCCUAGUAUGUCC